rnacentral:rRNA from 1 species
GAGGUAAUGGCUCACCAAGGCGUCGACGGGUAGCCGGCCUGAGAGGGUGACCGGCCACACUGGGACUGAGACACGGCCCAGACUCCUACGGGAGGCAGCAGUGGGGAAUAUUGCACAAUGGGCGCAAGCCUGAUGCAGCAACGCCGCGUGAGGGAUGACGGCCUUCGGGUUGUAAACCUCUUUUAGCAGGGAAGAAGCGAGAGUGACGGUACCUGCAGAAAAAGCACCGGCUAACUACGUGCCAGCAGCCGCGGUAAUACGUAGGGUGCAAGCGUUAUCCGGAAUUAUUGGGCGUAAAGAGCUCGUAGGCGGUUUGUCGCGUCUGCUGUGAAAUCUGGGGGCUCAACCCCCAGCCUGCAGUGGGUACGGGCAGACUAGAGUGCGGUAGGGGAGAUUGGAAUUCCUGGUGUAGCGGUGGAAUGCGCAGAUAUCAGGAGGAACACCGAUGGCGAAGGCAGAUCUCUGGGCCGUAACUGACGCUGAGGAGCGAAAGGGUGGGGAGCAAACAGGCUUAGAUACCCUGGUAGUCCACCCCGUAAACGUUGGGAACUAGUUGUGGGGUCCAUUCCACGGAUUCCGUGACGCAGCUACGCA